GGGCGCCUAGUAUAGUGGUCAGUACACUUCGUUGUGGUUCUCUCUGAGGUCUUCCCCGAAGAAACCCAGGUUCGAUUCCUGGGGCGCCCA